AAGCAGCUCUCCCGUCCCCAGCGGUACGCUGCACGCUCCCGGAGCUCGCCACCGGCACGGCGCUGGGUGCAUUAGGCAACGCAGCCUUUUGUUUCGCUGCCCCGCCACCCCCCGCUAUUGCAACUUCCUUCGCUGGCGGACGAUCCGCACGCCGGGACCCCGAGCGCGCGGAAACGGCCCCGGAGCAGCUUUGGAUCGGAGGCGCCGGCUACGGCCGCCGGCUUCUGCUUGGCGGCCCGUGUUCAAGCCACCGGCAGCCGGGGGGACCCGUCGCCUCCUCCUCCUCCUCCUCCUCCUCCUCCUCCUCCUCCUCCCUGCGGGCGCGGGGGCCCACGGCAGCCCGGCGGGCGAGCUGUCAGCGCCCCACUGCCCGGCCAAGCUGGACGCCGCCGCGCAGCCGACCCCGAGGCCCCGGGCGAGCGAAGAUGCUCGAGGAAAGCGGCCCGCGAGCCAAGGGCUCCCUCCCCACGCCCCGGCUUACCCAUGGCGCUCAGGGCUGAGAUCCCAUGAAAUGCCUUUAACAACAGAGCUGGAAAGUAGAUUUCUGCCUCAUUUUUGGAACUUCCUGAAGCAGGUGCCUAUGAAAACGAGAUGGCAUGGCUCCGAAAGGAGAGAAACACUUUCCUAAUGCUUCCAGUUGGAUCUAAAAGCCACCCCAAUUUUUGCAUCCUCUGGUAUUGACUUUUAAACUUCACAAGAAUCGCGAGAGAGCCCUCAGAGGGAUGCUCCGGGAGGUGUCGGCAAGAGGGUCGUGGUCCUGCGCAGGUGAGUGACGGCUUUGCUGGAGGUGGCAUGUCCCCGGAGCUCUUCCACGGCGAGGCAGGGUUUCUUCUGCUCCCGGCUGCACCUCUUCUCCCUGCUCAGGCCCUGGGCACGGCAGUCGCGAGGAGCAGAUACAGCUCUGCCAGCUGACGUGAUUCCUACAGAAAGGUUUCCCUGAGCUUAGCAAAAUACCUCUGCUUGUGUCCACUGUGCACCCGCUCUGCUCUGCGGAGCUGGACUCUUCGUCACCUGUCCCGAGGACGCAGUGGAGGAAGCCCAACAUCUCCUGUGCCAUGGACCAGCACCCCGGCUGGGCACUGCCGGUGCCCGGGCAGCGUGUCAGCCAGGCAGGCUCCUUUUCCCCAGGGAACAAUUUCGCUUCCUAGUGAGUGCUAAAAGCAGCGAUUGCAGGGCAAUUCCAGCAGUUCAUUCCCCGCAUCUGCAGCGUAUUUGUAAAGAGCAAUGAUAAUCGCCUGUUUAAACUUCUCUUUCUCUAAUCGCAUACUUACCCUGUGAAUCACAGCACUGGUCUCGUGGAACAAAUCUGUUCUGACUUUGUCCUCACUUCCAUUGUUGUAAACUAUUUCAGAUAUUAAGAUAUAUUUAUACUGAAGCCACAUUUCAAAGGUCAUCGCAUUUUAACCAGUUCGGCAUGGCACUUGUCAAUAAACAUGACCGAAGAGAGGUUCCUCUGGCCCUCAGAGCAUCAGACUCCACCGCUUGCACUGUGGAUAUGUUUGCUUAGUUCAGAGGGCACUGUGGGCUUAUCUUCCCCUGCUGUUAACUCGUUCUGUGUCCCAAACAUAUGCCAUGUAUUUAUCUCUGGGAGCAAUGCCAUUUUGAACUCAGUGUUUCCCUGCUCCUGUGUUCUGGAAUCGCACUGGUUCUUUCCAGCUACUUUAUAGCACUGGGAAUUUAGUCCAGCUGGCUAUUGACUGUUAUGCCAGAUCUGCCUCAACCGCUGCUUUCCAGAUGUCCUGAAAAUACUGCCUAUCUUGCUGGGUUUCACGUGUAUGACCCUGCGUAUCUGGGUUAGAUGUGUGCCGUUCAGCGAUGUUUGGCUUAGCAAGCAAUGCAGCUUUCUCCUCCCGUGACGAAGACACCUCCCAAGCUGCAUCAUCAGCAAACUUUAGUAGCAGGCAUUUCCUAUUUUCUUUAAGAUCCUUGACAGAACAUUCAAGGUUUGGGGAAAACCCCCACCUGGAGAGGAGGCUAUUUGUAACUUAUCAUUUGGAGGCCUCAAAACUGGUAGCCAGUUGUGAUCCAAUAAAGAAACCCCGUCUGGCUUCUCUGCCUUGAUUUUAGUUUAAUCAGCAGAGUUUGUUGCACCCAGAUGCUGCAUGGGCCUCCGCCAGAGACUUGGAGACUGAGCUUGACAGAUCAGCAUGGCCUUGCAUAAGCUGUGCCCAAGCAGCCAGUCCAAGCCGGAGGAUGACUCAGGUCAUCAAAACAGAGCUGGAGGAACUGGGGAGUUGAGCACAGAAGGGAAGUCACUUUGCAUUCAAGCAGAAGCCCUCUGUCGCUCUCAAGUGAACACAUGAAGAUCUGAAGCCCUGAGCCUUUGGGAGCAAUAGCGUGGUGCCUGGCCACACGCUUCAGGAGGACACAAAAGCUUGCAUUAAAGCUACAGGAACGACAGACCCCUGCAGUGGUUUGGACGCUAUUUCAUCUGUGAGUUCGCUUCAGGAGGACAUUAUGCAGUUGAACCAAGUAUGGGCCAGAGAGGCAGAUGUAAAACAGGGGGCUGGACAGGCAGCAAAUGCUGCUCCUGCAUUAAAACAGAAAAGUCCCUGUGAGUAUUUCAAAGACCUGGAAGCUGUACAAGCAUCACUGGCAAGUUGGUUGAGAUGAUGGUUAAAACCAGAGCAAUAAAACACCUUCUGGAUAAUCAUUUGCUGGGCACCUGCCAAGGCAGAGGCUAUGAAGAAAGCCCACAUCUCUCUCCUCCCACACUUUCUGGCAGAAGAGCUCUGCUGAGUAGCAUCACCCAUUUUGACUCCCAGACAGACCUGGACACGGGGGCCCGUGGGGCGCAGGCUCGGAGAACAGCCAGCGGGGCAGAAAGCAAAGUGCGGCGUCAGGAGUGUGAAGCAUUUCACGCUGUCGCAGGAGAAACAAGCCAGUCCUGGAUUUACAGCACUCUGGAUGAACUGCGUCGGCUCCAGGCAGGAACACGGGGAGCAACGCAGACAGAACAGAGGAAACCUGUGCUCAGCCUGCUGCUUUCCACGCCCGGACUGCAGAAACACCAGUGGCUCUUGCCCUCUGCCCUCGAGCAGCCGCCCAGCGCAGGCCUGGUGGGAUGCCGUGCAGUGCUGGGCGCUUUUGGAAGGAGAAACCUGCUGAUGAAGAGGGGUUGAAAGACUGCAGUUCCUUAACUGAGAGAGUAAAUACAAGCGGGUGAAAUAACGAACAGACUUGGCAUGGUGAUUUUGAAAAGACCCUGGACGUUUAUUUGGCUGUCAGUGUGCUUCCAACUAUCAGCGUGCUCCCAGCUAUCAGCCACACUCACAGCAAAUAUAUUAUUUCAAACCCUCCCGUUGCCACUGUGUUGGCUCUUUCUGGCUCAGUUCUCGUGUGGACCUGACCUCCAGGAGAGCUGGAGAAGAGAUGUCCCAAUUUGCCUCAUCGCCUGUUGGUGGAAAGGAACCCACCGUGCCAUCCAUUAAGGAUGAUCGGGGAGGGAGAGAUGAGCCAGACACCCCAGGGACAGCCUCGCACCGCACACCAUCCAUCCCUUGAGUCCCUCCAGGAUGCUGUGUCAGGGAUGCCACAUCACAGCCUCCUUCUUCCCCUUGGGGGUCUGACCCACAGAGUUGGGCAUGCGGCUCUGAUGGAAGGAACCGGGACACAUCCAAGGGCACGAGAGCAGGAGACACACACUAACAGCCAAUUAGAAAAUUCCUGUUUGGACACGGUGCUGCUUGUGUCACAUAAAAUAUGACAGGCUGCUCCGUAAGGAAGUUUCUUUUCUCCCAGUUGAAAAUUACUGGGGAGGUUUGCAAGGCUAAGCAAAACCCAGUGGCAGGGUUAGCAGAGCUUCAAGAAAGGGAUGUAAAACUCAGGAAAGGAGGGACAGUAAAUAUUUCCACUCUCGCUCGGUCUCACACCCACAGCCUCAGCUACAAACGCGGAAGGUGAUGAGUGGCUAAGACCUGUGGUCAGCCUGAGUUCGUGAGCCCUCUCUUGUACCCCGACCUGCCCCGUGUGUGUGUACAGCCCUGCCCCAGGCAGACCGCACACACCAGCCCCCAAUACCCCAUGGCAACUUCCUCUUGCUGGGGAGGUUUCUGGCUCCGGCCCCCAGCCCGAGUUUGGCCAGAAUUCACUGCAUUCCGUUCUUCACCUCCCCUUGAUGUUUUUUGGCUCUCCUGUGCUUGGUUUGCCACCCCUCACCUGCUCUGACUGUCACUUCUGCACGGCACCUCCUCAUCACGUGUGCUGUGGGAAAGGGAUGAAUAGCAAGGCCACCCUCAAAGACUGGACAUCACAGCUAGAAAGAAAAGGCCCCACCGCAUCCCACGAGCAGCAGCAGCAUCUCCCGACCCAUUGCACAGCUCGCAGGGUGCUCCUGGCACCAGCCCUGUCUCCAGCCCACUCCAUUCUUCUCUACGAUUUGUCCCCUCCAACCCGUUCCCCACGAUGGCCUUCGAGCGUGAGCUCCCAGAGAAACAGUGUGACCAGCAAGGCAUUUCCCACCGCCCUCGGGGCAGGCCUGAGCUCAGCUGCUCCGGCUAAAGCAGGGCAGUUCCACCAAAUGAUUACGGAUUAAUUGCUGCAGAUCAUUCAUUUCAGCUACCUACACACUCUCAUACCAGCCCUCCCCUUGUGCUAACUCAACCCACAAAAAGCCCAACCAUCUAUACUCUGACUAACAAAAAACAAGUGUUUCCCUCCUUUAAAACCUCAAAGCUUUGGCUUCAGCUGUGUUAUCUGUCACCAGAUAUAACUUUUGAUAAUUUCAAAGAGAUUGCCUAUUCUCUACAGUGCAUGCCUGCCGCCAUACUUUGGCAUGAUUUCUCCGGAGGUGAUUGCGUGGGGCACCAGGAGCACCAUGUUCAGCAUCUGCGAUGCUACGGCUGCCCCGGUGCUUCCUGGGCGCUGUGCUUUGGUCCCGGGGAGCAAGAGGAGCUGGCUUAGGAGAUGAGGCAGUGGGCUGCCUCUCUGCAUGCAGCCUUACACCUGGAUCACUGGAUUCCCAGAGGAUGUAGAAGAAGGAGAACGACAGCAUGAUCUCCAUGCGGAGGCCUCCCUUACCACAGGAGCUGGGGGACCCAUUUUCACGGGUCUUUACUGCCCCCAAAUGAAACCUUUCAGAUGCACAUUGGAGGGUCCUACACCAGCACGGCUGGGUCUGGAGGUGCAAGUGCUUAGCUAAUACCUAGAGGAGACCUUGGCCUGAAACGACUGCAACGUUGUUCUUCCCACGCUGCAGGGACACGACCAGUCACCACUCCAGCUCUGAAGCAAAAAGCCAUCCAAAACCUGGGAUAUCUUCAGCAUGAACGGGACAAACAAAAAAAAUGACCUUAAGCUGGUCUAGACGUUUCCAGCAACAACAGAAACAUCACCGAAGCUUCCCAGCCUACUCUGGCUGCUCUGCUGCCUUGCUGGAUGAAGAAAUGCUGGAGACUUUUCCCAUCCCACGCUAGGACAACAAGGUAUCUGCUUUGCCGGGGCCAGCUCAGCACUGCCCAGCUGUGUAGGCUGAGAGGUUAAGCAGAGGGACUGGGAAGGGAUGGGGUGACCUGGUCAGCAAAUGUCAGACCCCUGGCAAUAGGUUUUUUUUGUAGUUACCCUUCGUGGUCCCCUUAGAAGUAGUCAACAGACUGUCACUGCCGCUGAAAACCACUGCUCUACCGGACUGAACUGGGAGGAGCAAAGAAGGGAUGAAAAGGAGAUCCUACCAGGUUCGUGGGAGGCUAAGGAUUCUCUCACGGCCAGCGUGGACCCAACCUUUGCCACAAAGAGCUGGAAACCCGUAAUACUAGAGGAAAAACAAACAAACAAAAAAAACCCCCAUGUGCUUUACAAUCACCCGCUCACCAAACUCGGUUUUAAUUAUACAGCACUUAGGAGUGGAAAAAAAUGACUUCUGCUUCUCUAACCCAUUGUGAUAAAUGUUAUUUCACUUGAGACUGGUAGAUAAAAUCAGUUUAAGCCACAUGUCUUAAAUAUGAGACUUUAUCUGAAUCAGUUUUGGAACCUGACCUUUAUUGUAGUGCAGCAACACAGCAAGGCAGUUUAUGCUAAAUACGGCAGUUUUUCAGCAUUCGGGACGUACAGACAAAUACAGAGCUGUUCAUGAAUUAGCUGAAACACCUUAAAGAUGUCACAGGAGCGAAAAAAGAAAUGGAGACCCUUAUUUGAGAGGAGGAUAUAGUUCUGAUGUGUUUAAAGAAGGAAGUGCUUUAGAAGCCGAGGAAAGGGCUUCCCUUCCCCAGCGGGCUUGGGCGAAGCCGGGCUCACACGUCCCUCUGCAGCCGUGGGGAGCGGGUUGGAGCAGGAAAAGCGCAGAGUUCACAUGCCUACUCGCUGCAUUUGGAUGUUUUGGUUAAAAACAUCCUCCCCAGGAGCUCUCUGGUUAAUACAGCCUUCACAGCUGAGCACAGAUGUGGCUAACAGCACCCCGUGAAACACGCUCUGGGCUGCCACCCUCCACCACAAGGCUCAGACACCUGCAGGGCACGUCACCGAUAUCGCCCCUGCACCAGGAGGGCAUUAGCAUGUCGAGCAGGUGCCGCAAACCUCCACGCUCUUCGAAAGCACAUGGCCCUGCUGCUCAGCAGCACGGAGCGUGCAGGCAGCGGGGUGACGCAGGUCUGGCGUCCUCCAGCCAGGGGCUACCUCAGCUUAGAGGCUCUGCAGAGAGGCUGAUCUUCACUCGCUAUCAGUAGACAUGCACCUGCUGACAGAUGGGACAGCUUCUCCUCUGCUUUGAGGGCAACAAGUGUCGUUUGUGCCUCCGCUGAAGCUCUCGGAGCUGUGCACAGGCUCCGCGGUGUGAGCCGGAGCCAGACCUUCGCCCGGACGGUGGGUGCAAAGGUUUGGGCAGUGCUCGCACCAGAAGGCAGGAUCGGGUUCAGCCAAAAUAUGGGGCUUUUUUCAGCUUGUCUUUCACUCGAAAUUGCCCCAGUGUUUUCAGACUGAUUAAAAUGAAGCUGCAGAAAAGAGCAGUAAAAUGCACUACAUUGGCAGGGGAAAGAGCCCCAGCUGCCCAGGAGGCUGGAGGAAUGGGUGACACAAGUUCAAAUCCUUCCUCUACCUUGGCUUAGGAGAGUGCCCGGGCCAUGGAUCUGUCCUGCCUGUCACAGUUGCCCUCUCUCUGGCCAGAGGGAUAACUCAGCAUCUAUUAGGGUGAUGAAGCACCACCUUCCCCCUGCCUCAGACUAAGUCAUCCUCCCACAGACAUGAGUGCAAAUCCCCCGUGUAAAGGCAGGGACUGAAUCUAGGUCUUCCACAUCCUGGGUGAAUAACAAGCUACUGAAUAAGAAAAAAAAAGAGCCACUUACUCCCUCUCCAUCAGCUUGGUGACCUCGUUGCUUCAUUUCCCUGUUAUGAACAGGUGAAGGUUUUAUAUAUAUAUAUAUAUAUAUAUAUAUAUAUAUAUAUAUAUAAUGUGUGUGUAUAGAUAUAUUCAUUAAAAAAACAACUAACAUA